UACAGAGGUGGCAAGCGUUGUUCGGAAUUACUGGGCGUAAAGGGCGCGUAGGCGGUUCGUUAAGUCCUGUGUGAAAUCCCCGGGCUCAACCCGGGAACUGCGUCCGAUACUGGAAGGCUUGAAUCCGGGAGAGGGAUGCGGAAUUCCAGGUGUAGCGGUGAAAUGCGUAGAUAUCUGGAGGAACACCGGUGGCGAAGGCGGCAGCCUGGACCGGCAUUGACGCUGAGGCGCGAAAGCCAGGGGAGCAAACGGG
rnacentral:rRNA from 1 species